rnacentral:rRNA from 1 species
CUGCUAUUGGAGUUCGAUUAAGCCAUGCGAGUCUAAGGGGUACUUGUACCCCUGGCAUAAUGCUCAGUAACACGUGGAUAAUCUACCCUUAGGUGGGGCAUAAACCCGGGAAACUGGGGCUAAUUCCCCAUAGAUACAGAACGCUGGAAUGCCUCUGUAUUCAAAGCUCCGGCGCCUAAGGAUGAGUCUGCGACCUAUCAGGUAGUAGUCAGGGUCACGACCUGACUAGCCAACGACGGGUACGGGGUGUGAGAGCACUUGCCCGGAGAUGGUUUCUGAGACACGAAACCAGGCCCUACGGGGCGCAGCAGGCGCGAAAACUUCGCAAUGCGGGAAACCGUGACGAGGGAACUCCAAGUGUCUAUGCAAUGCAUAGACUGUUUUUCAGCCUAAAUAGCUGUUAGAGUAAGGGGUGGGUAAGACCGGUGCCAGCCGCCGCGGUAACACCGGCACCCCGAGUGGUAGCCACUAUUAUUGGGCCUAAAGCGUUCGUAGCCGGUUUAGUAAAUUCUUGGGUAAAUCGUACAGCUUAACUGUGCGGAUUCCGGGGACACUACUAGACUUGAGACCGGGAGAGAUUAGAGGUACUUGCAGGGGAGCGGUGAAAUGUUGUAAUCCUGCAGGGACCACCAGUGGCGAAGGCGUCUAAUCAUAACGGCUCCGACGGUGAGGAACGAAACCCUGGGGCGCAAACGGGAUUAGAUACCCCGGUAGUCCAGGGCGUAAACGCUGCUGACUUGGUGUUGGAGAUCCUACGAGGGUGUCCAGUGCUGGCGCGAAGGUAUUAAGUCAGCCGCCUGGGGAGUACGGUCGCAAGACUGAAACUUAAAGGAAUUGGCGGGGGAGCACUGCAACGUGUGGAGCGUGCGG